UGAGUAAUACAUCGGAACGUGUCUUCUAGUGGGGGAGUAACUGCCCGAAAGGGCAGCUAAUACCGCAUGAGACCUGAGGGUGAAAGCGGGGGAUCGCAAGACCUCGCGCCGGAAGAGCGGCCGAUGUCCGAUUAGCUAGUUGGUGAGGUAAAGGCUCACCAAGGCGACGAUCGGUAGCUGGUCUGAGAGGACGACCAGCCACACUGGGGCUGAGACACGGCCCAG
rnacentral:rRNA from 1 species